rnacentral:rRNA from 1 species
GACACACCUGUACCCAUUCCGAACACAGAAGUUAAGCAUCAUCGCGGCGAAGAUAGUACAUUGUGCGAAAAUAGCUCGUUGCCAGUU